rnacentral:rRNA from 1 species
CACUCAGGUUGACUUUCCCUGUGGGUGGUGGUUUGGGAGGCGGCAUGGGCACGCUGUGGCUGGCGGCGCCCCUCGCUGGCUGGGUCCGGCUCUAGCCCUUUUUAAGGGGUAGAGGGGGGAGGGUAGGGGAGGGGAGGCGGCGUGCCGUACCUAGGGCAGCGGCUGCGCGGCCUGGGCGGCCCGAGGCGGCGGUGGCAGGAGCUGUGGGACCCGCUCCUCCACGAGCGCCAGUACAGGGGCCAGAGGUAGACGUACCGGGAGCAGCAGGAGGAGUAGUGCGAGGAGCGCGGCGGGAGGAGGAGGGGGAGGCGCGGCGGGGGGCAGUGGCGGCGGUGCGAGCAGAUGGAGCUCAGGGGGAGGCUGAGGGGCCGGGUCUUCGAGCAGCCGCGCGAGGAGCUGCGGCGGCAGAAGCAGCGCGAGCAGCGGCAGCAGUGGAAGUAGGAGCAGCGCGAGAUGAUGAUGGCGACGUGGCCGAAGGAGUUCUUGAUGUACGCGAAGAGGCGGAAGAAGCAGGAGAAGAGGUACCCGCCGCGGUAGCGGCAGCGGGAGGAGGCGGCGGAGCUGCGGGGCGAGCUGCGCGGGUGGCGCGAGGAGGAGGAGAAGUUGCGUAGGCGGCAGCCGCAGGAGAGGCAGAAGCGGAGGCGCCAGGGGUAGGAGCAGGCGGUCCCGAUGUACCAGCGCGAGCGGCAGUAGCAGCGGCGGACCGAGAGGUCCGAGGGGCUCACCUGGUGGACCUAGUACGAGGAGCGGGAGCGUCAGAUACUGGAGCAGCGGCACGAGCGCGGUUCCCCGGGCGAGUCCUACGAACACCUCGAGCGUAGGAGGUCCCUGCUGCUUGAGGGCCGCGAGUAGAUGCUUAGUGCGGGGUGCCAUCCGGGUCGGCUCUGAAGGAGGAGGAUACGAGGCCGUUACACCAGGCUCCUCAGCGUCGUGGGGCUAAGACGGCGGGCUAGCCCGGGUUUGGACAUACUGUCCCACCCAGUCGUCCUACUAAGCCCAGGACGGUACCAUCUUUACUCCCUAGAACCGAGUUGUUCGGCACUGUACCGAUGGAGUUUAGUUCCACAUUGUCCCGUCUGUAGUUUAGUUCCACCCUCGCGUGUCGUACGACAGUAAGUCUAGCUCGUCGCAGUCCUUCUUCUUCUUUGUCGAGGUAACCACAGUCGUCGUAGCCGGUUGGGAUGACAGCGGUUACUCCUCGUAUGUGUUUAAAGAAGUAGUCUUGGAGGGCUCCUCCUCAAACUCUACAAACUCAGAUCGUCCCCGUAGUUCGACCCCGAACCGCUAAAACAGAAGAUGUCACACGAACACCCCUCCCGACGGUACAUACUAGAGUACUGCCACAUACGCACGAUGGAACGGUAGUAGCGACCCGAACCGACGUGGGAGUAGGACGACAGCUAUACGUCCGUGCGUAACGGGCGUGAGGGCUAGAGGUAGUACGACCCUCAGCACAAGAUGAAGAACUGCGCCAACGACUACCUCGGUAAGCAACAGCCACGAAGCUGGUUAAACCACUACAAGACUCAAGACUGAUUACAAGACAACAGCAACAAUGUACAAACAGUUCGAUUUUUCGUUAACUCUUGUAGUACACCCUCACUAAUGAUGAAACAACCAGUGUAGAACAUCCAUCUCUCAGUACAUCAAUACUGAUCCUUUACAGUAACUCUGAAAUCCAUUGCAGUCAAAAUAGACCCUAGUUGAUCAGGUACAGAGCAGCAUAUCAAGAUAGUUGUACCGUACCAUAAGCUCUUCUUGUGUAAACGUAAAGUCAAAGUAAAAAGUAAGAACGCAAGAAGAACAAAAAACGACCACAAGAGGGAAUCUAAUAUCACUAUUUCAUUUCACUAGUACGAAAAUUUGUUAGUCGGACGUUAAAAGAAAAGUACAGACAAUAAAAAAAAGAAUAUACCAUGGGGGAAUGUCUCCCUCAUUUAUCUCUUAUCUCAAUAGUUCGUUUACGUAAUUAAACUUUUGGUAAAUACACGUGAAGUCCUCAAGUCGUCGUGAACCAUUACAAACGGAAAGAGUAAACUAAGAUCCCUGGUAUAAGGAGGACAGACGAACUUAACUGUUCGACUCUUAUAAGCAAAAACAAACAGAAAACUUCCUUUUUAUC